rnacentral:rRNA from 1 species
UACGUAGGGGGCUAGCGUUAUCCGGAAUCACUGGGCGUAAAGCGUGCGUAGGUGGCGUGUUAAGUGCAAUGCGAAAUCCUGUGGCUCAACCAUAUGGACUGUAUUGCAUACUGGCAUGCUAGAGGACGGCAGAGGCAAGUGGAAUACCGGUGUAGCAGUGAAAAUGCGUAGAGAUCGGUAGGAACACCAAAUGCGAAGGCAGCUUGCUGGGGCCGACC